CAAAACAACGGCAACAAUAGAGCAGCAACGACAACAAAAACUUCAACCUGACUUUAAAAAUUUUGACUCACAAAUCAUCGGCCAGAACCAAUUCUAGCUCAGUAGCCAACGUCUAAAAUUUCCAUUCAUACCAUAUCGUACAAUUACAAUUCACAUAACUCAUUCUUAUCCCCAAUUUGAAUUUUUCUUCAGAAAAAUACCCCAAAACACCCUAAAAAAAUCCUUCA
rnacentral:lncRNA from 1 species